GGCGCGAUAGCCAAGUGGUAAGGCAAUGGUCUGCAACACCGUGAUCACCAGUUCAAAUCUGGUUCGCGCCU
rnacentral:tRNA from 2 species